rnacentral:rRNA from 1 species
CUUAAGUGGGGAAUAACGCAUCGAAAGGUGCGCUAAUACCGCAUAAUCUCUGAGGAGAAAAGCAGGGGAUCGCAAGACCUUGCGCUUUUAGAGCGGCCGAUGCCUGAUUAGCUUGUUGGUGAGGUAAAAGCUCACCAAGGCUUCGAUCAGUAGCUGGUCUGAGAGGACGACCAGCCACACUGGGACUGAGACACGGCCCAGACUCCUACGGGAGGCAGCAGUGGGGAAUUUUGGACAAUGGGGCAACCCUGAUCCAGCCAUGCCGCGUGAGUGAAGAAGGCCUUCGGGUUGUAAAGCUCUUUCAGCCGGAACGAAACGGUCACGAUUAAUACCCGUGGCUACUGACGGUACCGGAAGAAGGAGCACCGGCUAACUACGUGCCAGCAGCCGCGGUAAUACGUAGGGUGCGAGCGUUAAUCGGAAUUACUGGGCGUAAAGCGUGCGCAGGUGGUUUUGUAAGUCAGUUGUGAAAUCCCCGGGCUUAACCUGGGAACUGCGUUUGAAACUGCAAGGCUAGAGUGUGGCAGAGGGGGGUGGAAUUCCGCGUGUAGCAGUGAAAUGCGUAGAGAUGUGGAGGAACACCGAUGGCGAAGGCAGCCCCCUGGGUCAACACUGACGCUCAGGCACGAAAGCAUGGGGAGCAAACAGGAUUAGAUACCCUGGUAGUCCAUGCCCUAAACGAUGUCAACUAGUUGUCGGGUCUUAACGGGCUUGGUAACGUAGCUAACGCGUGAAGUUGACCGCCUGGGGAGUACGAUCGCAAGAUUAAAACUCAAAGGAAUUGACGGGGACCCGCACAAGCGGUGGAUUAUGUGGAUUAAUUCGAUGCAACGCGAAAAACCUUACCUACCCUUGACAUGUAUUGAAACCCGCAGGGAUGUGGGUGUGCCCGAAAGGGAACGAUAACACAGGUGCUGCAUGGCUGUCGUCAGCUCGUGUCGUGAGAUGUUGGGUUAAGUCCCGCAACGAGCGCAACCCUUGUCAUUAAUUGCCAUCAUUUAGUUGGGCACUUUAAUGAGACUGCCGGUGACAAACCGGAGGAAGGUGGGGAUGACGUCAAGUCCUCAUGGCCCUUAUGGGUAGGGCUUCACACGUAA